rnacentral:rRNA from 1 species
UACGGGGGGGGCAAGCGUUGUUCGGAAUUACUGGGCGUAAAGGGUUCGUAGGUGGCUUGCUAAGUCAGACGUGAAAUCCCUCGGCUCAACCGGGGAACUGCGUCUGAGACUGGCGAGCUUGAGUGCAGGAGAGGAACGCAGAAUUCCAGGUGUAGCGGUGAAAUGCGUAGAUAUCGGUAGGAACACCAGUGGCGAAGGCGGUCUCCUGGGGCAUUCUUGACGCUGAGGCGCGAAAGCUGGGGGAGCGAACGGG